UACGUAGGGGGCAAGCGUUGUCCGGAAUCAUUGGGCGUAAAGAGCGUGUAGGCGGCCCGGUAAGUCCGCUGUGAAAGUCCAGGGCCCAACCCUGGGAUGCCGGUGGAUACUGUCGGGCUCGAGUCCGGAAGAGGCGAGUGGAAUUCCUGGUGUAGCGGUGAAAUGCGCAGAUAUCAGGAGGAACACCGAUGGCGAAGGCAGGUCUCUGGGCCACUACUGACGCUGAGAAGCGAAAGCAUGGGGAGCGAACAGG
rnacentral:rRNA from 1 species